rnacentral:rRNA from 1 species
AUGAACAAGUUUCAGUUAAGCAACUUGUUACCAAAGUUGAUGCCGCUUAGUAUUUCCACACCCCCAUUAACUAUUAAGGCCCACCAACAGUAUCCAGAACUGAUCAUCCUCAUGCAGAACACCCAUUUGGAAAACUCUUUUGAUAGAUGGUGCUAUCUCUCGCAUAAUGUUGAUUACUCCUCUAUAAGAAUGUAUCAUCAUCUUCAUAAUCAGGAGCUUCCAUCCCCAACUUUUAGAAGGCUUUGGAAGAGUAUUGUAAUGUCGAGAUACAAAAUCUUUGUUUGGCUCAUGCUUCAUGACAGAGUGAAUGUGAGGAAUCUUCUUCACAAGAAAAAUUUCCACUUACCCAGUUACAAGUGGGAGCUUUGCAAACUGCUGUUGUGA